rnacentral:piRNA from 1 species
UGACCCUCUACUCAGCAGACUUCUGA